rnacentral:tRNA from 1 species
UCCUUGGUGGCUUAGUGGUAAAGAACCUGCCUGCUAAUGCAGGAGAUGCAGGUUCAAUCCCUGGGCAGGGAA